GCCUGAUGGAGGGGGAUAACUACUGGAAACGGUAGCUAAUACCGCAUAACGUCGCAAGACCAAAGAGGGGGACCUUCGGGCCUCUUGCCAUCGGAUGUGCCCAGAUGGGAUUAGCUUGUUGGUGGGGUAACGGCUCACCAAGGCGACGAUCCCUAGCUGGUCUGAGAGGAUGACCAGCCACACUGGAACUGAGACACGGUCCAGACUCCUACGGGAGGCAGCAGUGGGGAAUAUUGCACAAUGGGCGCAAGCCUGAUGCAGCCAUGCCGCGUGUAUGAAGAAGGCCUUCGGGUUGUAAAGUACUUUCAGCGGGGAGGAA
rnacentral:rRNA from 1 species